rnacentral:lncRNA from 1 species
AUGAAAGGGCAAUCUUGGAAAGUGCAAAACAGGAAGACCAAUCUUUUUGAGGAACCUGCCCUCCUGGUGGGCAGAAGGAUGGCUGCCCCCCUCUCGGCCCAGCCCGAUAUCCGGGACCAGCCCCUCCUGCCUCUGGAGCCUCCCUUCUGGGAGACGCUCGGGAUGAAUUUGCCCCCCUGGGCUAGCCGGGAAGGGGCAACAGGAGCGCUCAGUGGCCUGGGAGUUGGAGGAGGGAAGCCAGGAGGAGGAGGAGGACAUGGGGUUUGGGGUCUGGGAGAAGGGAGAGGGCUCCAGAGGCAACGGGGCUUCUUAAGCGCAGGAGCCGGACCAGGAAAGCGGUUGGCAGCCCCACCCCUUGAAGCCCUUUGGGAGCAGAGACGUGUUUUCAUUCAAAAACAUGGAGGUUCUUUGCCCGGUUCCAUAACCAGGGUUGUUGACAGGGUUGCCCGGGCGACCGGGUUCCGAGCCAGCAUGGGGCCUAUGGUCAUUUGUGCUCAAGGCAGGGUCACCAAGGGAGGUCUCUCCCGGGGAUCCUCUCUCGGUGGCUCGCUUUUCAGCACAAGGACUGCCCCCGCUAAAGGAGCAUCCAGCCCCAGCGAUGGCAGGAAGGAGAAUCGCUCGUAUGUUCCAGCGUCUGAGGAGGUGCAUCUGUGCCUGCUGCCGAGGGACCCCUGAAGAGGAGCAGCCCCCCGCCCCACCUGCGAGGUAGGACCCCAAAGAGCCAAUGGGCUGCCCUCUCCGGUAUUUCCUAGAAACGAUCCAAAUGCAGGUCCCUGACCUCCAGGAGCCUCCAUUGGACACACACUGGGUUUCUCAUCGACUGAGAAAAGAAGGGACGGAGUGGCUCCGAAGGGAGGAAGCCAGGAAAGAGGAGAAAAAUCCGGAUCGCUCCGAUUCCCUCUCCGGGUGGGGGAGAUUCAUUUAGCACCUCUCUCCCUUCUCCAUCCCAUUACUUCUGCCUGCAGAAAUCAAGAGAGAUAAGGGACUUUUCUUGCCUUCCUUCACAUCUUACAAUGUCUACUGCAAUAUUGCCACAUUAUGAUUAACUCUUGAGCAUGCUCAAAAUCACUGCCUCUGAUUAUUUUAUGUUCACUAAUGUGUACUCAGUGAGUUCUAACUACCUCUCACAUACUCUUCUGCAGGUGUUGAAUAUAGCACUACACUAAUCAUAACACACUGUAGUAUCUUUACCAUGGCAACAACUAUGUAUAUGUAUGUGUGUAUUUCUCAGUCCCUAAACUACCCACUCAGCAGUUAUUGUUUCUCUAUUAAAUAUAAAGUUAACAACAGUAAGCAAAUCUUUGCUUCUAGGGAUGAGGAACCACUUUAAGAUGCUACGAUCAACAAGAGAAAUUUAAGGUGCUACGAUCAACAAGAGAAAUGACGAAGAAUGAUUUAUGCUCCCCACCCCCAUGAAGCAGCAUUGUAUGAAUAACACUGACUGAAAAAUGGCAAAAGAGAAAAAUAUGGGUGGUCCUUCUAUACAACAGGUGCUGCUUUGUUCCUUGGACUUGUAGGAAUUAAAACAUUGGAGGAACUAUUUGGAUUUUUUUUUUAAUCAGCCAGUGGUUUUGUGCUUACUAUGAGUAGUCUUGUGCUUCUUCCAGUGAAGAGAUGCUGUCUGGAUGGAAACAAUUUGGGCAAAUUAUGGAAGGGGUGACACGAAUAAAAACAGUGCUCCUUAUCUUGCUCUCUGUCUG